rnacentral:rRNA from 1 species
UACGAAGGGGGCUAGCGUUGUUCGGAUUUACUGGGCGUAAAGCGCACGUAGGCGGAUUGUUAAGUCGGGGGUGAAAUCCUGGAGCUCAACUCCAGAAUUGCCUUCGAUACUGGCUUUCUAGAGGCUGGAAGAGGUUAGUGGAAUUCCCAGUGUAGAGGUGAAAUUCGUAGAUAUUGGGAAGAACACCAGUGGCGAAGGCGGCUAACUGGUCCAGAUCUGACGCUGAGGUGCGGAAAGCGUGGGGAGCAACAGGG